CGGUUAAGUUAGAAAGGGCGCACGGUGGAUGCCUUGGCACUAGGAGCCGAUGAAGGACGGGACGAACACCGAUAUGCUUCGGGGAGCUGUAAGCAAGCUUUGAUCCGGAGAUUUCCGAAUGGGGAAACCCACCACUCGUAAUGGAGUGGUAUCCAUAUCUGAAUACAUAGGAUAUGAGAAGGCAGACCCGGGGAACUGAAACAUCUAAGUACCCGGAGGAAGAGAAAGCAAAUGCGAUUCCCUGAGUAGCGGCGAGCGAAACGGGACCAGCCCAAACCAAGAGGCUUGCCUCUUGGGGUUGUAGGACACUCUGUACGGAGUUACAAAGGAACGAGGUAGAUGAAGAGGUCUGGAAAGGCCCGCCAUAGGAGGUAACAGCCCUGUAGUCAAAACUUCGUUCUCUCCUGAGUGGAUCCUGAGUACGGCGGAACACGUGAAAUUCCGUCGGAAUCCGGGAGGACCAUCUCCCAAGGCUAAAUACUCCCUAGUGACCGAUAGUGAACCAGUACCGUGAGGGAAAGGUGAAAAGCACCCCGGAAGGGGAGUGAAAGAGAUCCUGAAACCGUGUGCCUACAAGUAGUCAGAGCCCGUUAACGGGUGAUGGCGUGCCUUUUGUAGAAUGAACCGGCGAGUUACGAUCCCGUGCAAGGUUAAGCAGAAGAUGCGGAGCCGCAGCGAAAGCGAGUCUGAAUAGGGCGAAUUGAGUACGUGGUCGUAGACCCGAAACCAGGUGAUCUACCCAUGUCCAGGGUGAAGUUCAGGUAACACUGAAUGGAGGCCCGAACCCACGCACGUUGAAAAGUGCGGGGAUGAGGUGUGGGUAGGGGUGAAAUGCCAAUCGAACCUGGAGAUAGCUGGUUCUCUCCGAAAUAGCUUUAGGGCUAGCCUCAAGGUAAGAGUCUCGGAGGUAGAGCACUGAUUGGACUAGGG
rnacentral:rRNA from 1 species